AUGCGAUAAGUAAUGUGAAUUGCAGAAUUCAGUGAAUCAUCGAAUCUUUGAACGCACCUUGCGCUCCUUGGUAUUCCGAGGAGCAUGCCUGUUUGAGUGUCAUUAAAUUCUCAACCUCACCAGUUUUGUCAUGAGACUGUGUAAGGCUUGGAUUAUGGGAGUUUGUGCAGGCUGCCUCAGUGCUGGUCUGCUCUCCUGAAAAGCAUUAGCGAGUUUCAACUGAGCUCCGUCUAUUGGUGUGAUAAUUAUCUACGCCGUGGAUAGAGUUUAGACUUGCUUCUAACCGUCCGCAAGGACAAUGACUUUGACAAUUUGACCUCAAAUCAGGUAGGACUACCCGCUGAACUUAA
rnacentral:misc_RNA from 1 species